rnacentral:lncRNA from 1 species
CCAAUUGAGUGAAAAAAAAAGCAGGGCUUAAUUGCUUCUUUUGAAGAAGUUUAAGGGCCUUUUUUAUGCAUUUGGAAAGUUCAAGUGCUCAAUUGAGUGAAAAAGAAAAGAGGAAAGGCUUAAUUGCUUUUUCUGAAAAAGUUUGAGGGGUUUUUUACACCCUUAAGCCAAUUAAAAAUAAAAAAAUAUUUUAGAUGUUUAAAAUAUUUAUAGAAAAUACAAUUAAUUAUUGAAAAAAAUUUAAUUAAGUACCUGAACUAGAAAAUAAUUUGAAAAU